GGAAUCUUCCACAAUGGACGAAAGUCUGAUGGAGCAACGCCGCGUGUGUGAUGAAGGCUUUCGGGUCGUAAAGCACUGUUGUAUGGGAAGAACAGCUAGAAUAGGAAAUGAUUUUAGUUUUGACGGUACCAUACCAGAAAGGGACGGCUAAAUACGUGCCAG
rnacentral:rRNA from 1 species